GCAAGUCGAGCGGAUGAUGGAGGAGCUUGCUCCUCCUGAUUCAGCGGCGGACGGGUGAGUAACACGUGGGCAACCUGCCCUGUAGAUUGGGAUAACUCCGGGAAACCGGGGCUAAUACCGAAUAAUCCACCGGACCUCAUGGUCUGGUGUUGAAAGACGGCAUCUCGCUGUCACUACAGGAUGGGCCCGCGGCGCAUUAGCUAGUUAGUGAGGUAACGGCUCACCAAGGCCACGAUGCGUAGCCGACCUGAGAGGGUGAUC
rnacentral:rRNA from 1 species